rnacentral:rRNA from 1 species
UUUAAUUGAAGAGUUUGAUCAUGGCUCAGAUUGAACGCUGGCGGCAGGCCUAACACAUGCAAGUCGAGCGGCAGCACAGAGGAACUUGUUCCUUGGGUGGCGAGCGGCGGACGGGUGAGUAAUGCCUGGGAAAUUGCCCGGUAGAGGGGGGAUAACCAUUGGAAACGAUGGCUAAUACCGCAUAACCUCGCAAGAGCAAAGCAGGGGACCUUCGGGCCUUGCGCUACCGGAUAUGCCCAGGUGGGAUUA